UCAUCAGCGGAUUUCGACAAAGCAUUUGAUGUUUAACCCUCUCCUUAGCUCGUGCUUUAAGUGUCUCCAACUUCUUGUCACUUGGAUCAUGUGCUCCAUCGAAUACAACAUAGGUUUCCACACCGUUCGAAAUCAGAGCAUCGAAAAACGAAACUACAACAUCGUAAUAUUCUUGGUACUGACCACCACAUCGGCAGUCUAAGCCAUUGCUAGCGUAAAGAUAAUGGCACAGACAAGAUCCAUCGAUGACAAGUUUUGUAUUUUUAAGAUUGAUCUCUAUCCAAAGCGUUCCAAGUGAGUUGAUCUAACUUGUAAGUCCGGGAAUCCCCAUAUCUAGAUAUGAAACCGCUUUGAAAUCCCCUACCGAAUCAUAAUGUUCCAGGCGCGAUAAACUGACAAAUGAUUUCUUGGGAGGGUGGGAACCCACUGUUGUAGCCCCCUGUGUAAAUUAAUAGGAAUGAAUAUUCCUUUAACAUUUCUCUAUAGAUUUGAGAAAGACCGCGUAGAUAAUCUGUUAAAAAUGCGUGAUUCAGAAGUUUUUUUUCUUAUCUUUUGUCUUGUUAUUAACUACAUUUUGCCCCUCCCUUGAAAGAAAGAAAAAAUACCUUGAGCCAAUUUCAUUAAGUCAGUGGCUUAUUUAAAACCAGGAAGAUACGUCAAGUAAUACAACUUGAGUACCCGAUAACGUACUGAUUGAACCAGCUUUGGGCUAUCCGGGUUUUGCAUGAAAUUUCUACCUUAUCAACGACAACAAACCAACAGAUGAUAACUACAAGAUGACUGCUGAAACAGAAGGUUCAAGUGAACCGGUUAUUUUAGCCACAGCAGGUUAUGACCAUGCUAUUAAAUUCUAGCAAGCUCAUAGUGGAAUAUGUCAUCGCACUGUUCAGCAUCCAGACUCGCAAGUCAAUGCAAUGCAGAUCACACCAGACAGACAGUUAUUAGCUGCUGCAGGAUAUCAACAUAUACGCAUGUAUGACAUCAAUUCAAACAAUCCUAGUGCUGUAAGUCAUUAAGCCCACGAAGCUUGCUAUUAUUUUGAAUUUAUAAAUAUAAACCAUUUAUACCGCAGGAAAAUUGGAAGAAAACCUCGUACCACAUUUUCUUUAAGGCGUCCUUGACAUUUUUAUUUCCUUUUUGACUGAAGUAAGUCGUGAAAUCGGAAAUGCAGAUGAGUAACAUAUCCGUGGUUUAAUAAGUACUAGAUUCCAGAUAUGAUACUCACGUAAUAGACAACGAUAAAAUGAGAGAAAGAGAACGAGCGAGAGCCCCACGCUAAAGCUCAAGUAUGAAAGAACUGCUCGAGGGUAAAUGGUGAUGCAUGUGAUUAUGUCCUUAGCUAAAUACUCCGACUGAGAUAACGUCCCCGUUGAAUUCCAGAGGUUUUUUUGAGCGAGUUGUGGCCAUUUUUCGUCAAUUUUUUUUUCUAUUUUUAAGUACUUGACUUAAUUUUCCUGCAAUUAGGACAAGGUAGAAUUCCUGUUAGUCAAUUGACCAUGAUUUGAAGCGGAUUUCUGUCGAGGACUGUGAGAGAAAUUGCAUUAAGCACAGAGCUGGAAGCUAGCCAACACUUCAAGUCGCCACCUUUUCGUUCAAACAAAAUACUUUGUUAGGUAAACGCUUUGACUCCCAAAAGAAGCCAAAGAAGAAUUGUGAAUCAAAUUCUCAAUUACCUUGUCGUCAAAAUUCACUUCACAGUCAUCGCCAAAAACAACCGUUGUAACAAGGAGACAAGUGAUUCUACAAGCAACGCUGGCACCAGAUUCGUUUUUAGUUAUCACCAUUUCCUCAGAACUCCCUAUCUCCCCCCCUGCAAGGUUAAAAGGAGCAAAACUGGCCCCCCCGUCAUCAAAGAGCUAAGUUGAGAAGCGCCCCACGCCACAGCCCAUGGUACGAAUGUCUCACUUGUUACGCCAAUCGAACAAAAGCGGACAUCUCCUAGGAAAGUCGUGACCUCAGUGAAUGUUGCCUAAAGGUGUGUACACGUAAGUUAGAAACUCAACUUUCUCUAGAAUAAAACAGUUCGAUUGACAAGAUUAUGGGUAAGCUGGUGACAAAAAAAAAUGAGGUAUAACUCAAGCUACUUUCUCUGCAGUAUAUACCCAUGCAACCCAUUUUUCUUACCAAGUAGAUAUCUGAGUGAAGGAUGAUGCUUCGUACGACCAACCGUGUUUGCUCGACGGCAUUCACGAUCAGUUCUUACGUUCCGAGACUUCUACGGCUGCCUGUAGCGUUGGUAAAUAAAAAGGUUCCAUAAGAAAA